rnacentral:rRNA from 1 species
GAUGAACGCUGGCGGCGUGCCUAAUACAUGCAAGUCGAGCGAACAGACGAGGAGCUUGCUCCUCUGACGUUAGCGGCGGACGGGUGAGUAACACGUGGAUAACCUACCUAUAAGACUGGGAUAACUUCGGGAAACCGGAGCUAAUACCGGAUAACAUGUUGAACCGCAUGGUUCAACAGUGAAAGACGGUUUUGCUGUCACUUAUAGAUGGAUCCGCGCCGCAUUAGCUAGUUGGUAAGGUAACGGCUUACCAAGGCAACGAUGCGUAGCCGACCUGAGAGGGUGAUCGGCCACACUGGAACUGAGACACGGUCCAGACUCCUACGGGAGGCAGCCGUAGGGAAUCUUCCGCAAUGGGCGAAAGCCUGACGGAGCAACGCCGCGUGAGUGAAGAAGGUCUUCGGAUCGUAAAACUCUGUUAUUAGGGAAGAACAAAUGUGUAAGUAACUAUGCACGUCUUGACGGUACCUAAUCAGAAAGCCACGGCUAACUACGUG